GAUGACAAAGCCUUCAAGAAUGGGCGAGAGAGGAAUGUACUUCUCAGUUGCGAGCUCAGCUCGAUCGCCGGCAGCAAGUAGAACAGGGGUAGAAUGGGUCUGGAAACCAGUAAUGGUCUUGGGUCGACCUGCCUGACCUACAACAUCAACAGCUUGGCCAACACGGACAGGAACCGACAAGGGUUUCAAAUUUUCAUCCACAGUAAGCAGCAUUCUUGGCUGCAUAGCUAAGGUUAGGAAAUAAAGAAUGUAGUGAUAUUUCCCCAAGAUAAUGGCCUUCAUAUCAAGACAUGCAUGCAGCAGAGUAACCAGUCCAGCCAAUGCAGUCGGAGAUAACAGAAAGUGUUCAGAAUGAUAUGGUGAGAGAGUUAACAAUCCCUUUCCCAAGUGAACAAGACCCUGGGCGAUCCGCACACAGAACAGAAGGUUGGCUUCUUUGUAGUAGUAACUGGACAGAUUACGCAGCAUGCCAGCUAUUCUGGCAUUGUUUGUCCCUGCACCUAUCAAUCCCAAAGAAAUGAUAGCAGCCAUAGCUACUUCGGAAUCUGAAUCAUGACUGAGCCUGCUCAGAGUGUCCAUCACAUUGACUUUUGGGUUUGAAAUGCACAGAAGGGCAAGAGCCAAAGGAACUGCUCUUCUGAUAUUUUGCUCUCCAUACUGCAAAAGAUGUUCUAGUGAACG
rnacentral:misc_RNA from 1 species